UACGGAGGGUGCGAGCGUUGUCCGGAAUCACUGGGCGUAAAGGGCGCGUAGGCGGCGCGGAUAGUCGGCGGUGAAAGCCCGGAGCUCAACUCCGGGUCGGCCGUCGAUACUUCCGGGCUUGAGCACUGUAGAGGCAGAUGGAAUUCCGGGUGUAGCGGUGGAAUGCGUAGAGAUCCGGAAGAACACCGGUGGCGAAGGCGGUCUGCUGGGCAGUUGCUGACACUGAGGCGCGACAGCGUGGGGAGCAAACAGG
rnacentral:rRNA from 1 species